CGCAGGGUAUGCAAGAGGUCUAAGCAGAAAGGCUCAUAACCUUUUUAUCGUGGGUUCGAAUCCCACCCCUGCAA
rnacentral:tRNA from 1 species